GUCCCUUUCGUCUAGAGGUCAGGACAUCGCUUUUUCAAGGCGGUAACGCGGGUUCAAUUCCCGCAAGGGGCA
rnacentral:tRNA from 1 species